rnacentral:miRNA from 1 species
AAUUGCACCCGUCCCGGCCUGA